UACGAAGGGGGCUAGCGUUGCUCGGAAUCACUGGGCGUAAAGCGCACGUAGGCGGACUCUUAAGUCAGGGGUGAAAUCCUGGAGCUCAACUCCAGAACUGCCUUUGAUACUGGGAGUCUUGAGUUCGGGAGAGGUGAGUGGAACUGCGAGUGUAGAGGUGAAAUUCGUAGAUAUCGUAAGGAAGACCAGUGGCGAAGGCGGGUCUCUGGACAGUUCCUGACGCUGAGGCACGAAGGCCAGGGGAGCAAACGGG
rnacentral:rRNA from 1 species